rnacentral:rRNA from 1 species
UGCGUAGGUGGUGAGUUAAGUCUGAUGUGAAAUCCCCGGGCUCAACCUGGGAAUGGCAUUGGAUACUGGCUCGCUCGAGUGCGGUAGAGGGUGGUGGAAUUCCCGGUGUAGCAGUGAAAUGCGUAGAGAUCGGGAGGAACAUCUGUGGCGAAGGCGGCCACCUGGACCAGCACUGACACUGAGGCACGAAAGCGUGGGGAGCAAACAGGAUUAGAUACCCUGGUAGUCCACGCCCUAAACGAUGCGAACUGGAUGUUGGGGGGAACUUGCCCUUCAGUAUCGAAGCUAACGCGUUAAGUUCGCCGCCUGGGGAGUACGGUCGCAAGACUGAA